GUGAGUCCAGGUGUGGUGAUACAGGUGAGAGAUGGAGAGAGCGGGACAAGAUGGCUUCCUUGAUGUGAGUGGUCUGGUGAACACAGCCAGAAUAGGGUCACAGGGAGCGUGUCGCACACAGCCCUGCUUCACUGGAGACACCACUGGCACAAUGCCAUUGGCCUUUGUGAUUCAAAUACACCAAUAGCCUGAGGGCAUACCUGGAAGGUAUGCUGGACCAGAUAGCAGGCAGGUGACCACAGCCCUGACCAAGGGAGUGACCAGUAGAUAGCGUCUCAGGCCACCUACAACUCAUUCACAGCGACACACAAUAGGACAACUAUUUCUGAGUUGCUUCAACACCUGGAGCUCCAACCAAUUCCGGCCACUCGUAGCCCCCUAGGACAUGUGGAACAUUUACUGGAGCCCAACCUAGCUAUCUGCCCCCAAACCAACCCAACACUUGUUCCUUCAUCCCGCCUGCCUGUCACACCUAACCAGUCGGUAAAUAUUUGACACAGCAUGAUCUGAUGUCUGCCAUCAAAAUGGGGCCAUCGAGGGUCAGCUCACAGUAUUGGCCCAUUCACAAACAAGGAAAUAAAUAUUGUUUUGUCAAUAAAGGAAUUUC